rnacentral:lncRNA from 1 species
AGGGGAUCAGGCUCUCAAGAUAUUUUUUUUUUAUGGGGAUCGUGCCCCUUGUUAGACCUCGUGGGUCGUAAGUAUGUUUGGACCGUGGCCACGUUUUAAUGAAGGACCCAUCGAAAACAAGUAGAUAAAUUUGAGUAAUCAAGCUGGCCAGGCUAUAUAGAUUCUCAUAAUAUCUCUAAGUGUUUCUAGGGUUGUAAUCGUG